rnacentral:rRNA from 1 species
UGAGGGUGCAAGCGUUAAUCGGAAUUACUGGGCGUAAAGCGAGUGUAGGCGGCUUCGUAAGUCGGAUGUGAAAGCCCCGGGCUUAACCUGGGAAUUGCAUUCGAUACUGCGCGGCUAGAGUCUGAUAGAGGGAAGUGGAAUUCCAGGUGUAGCGGUGAAAUGCGUAGAUAUCUGGAGGAACAUCAGUGGCGAAGGCGGCUUCCUGGAUCAAGACUGACGCUGAGGCUCGAAAGCGUGGGGGGAGCAAACAGGAUUAGAUACCCUGGUAGUCCACGCCCCUAAACGAUGUCAACUAGACGUUGGGCUCAUUAAGGAGCUUAGUGUCGAAGCUAACGCGUUAAGUUGACCGCCUGGGAGUACGGCCGCAAGGUUG